CUUAGCAACCCCAUGGACUGUAGCCUACCAGGCUCCUCCGUCCAUGGGAUUUUCCAGGCAAGAGUACUGGAGUGGGGUGUCAUUGCCUUCUCCAAAGUACAUGAGUUAAAUUUAAUACGAGAUUCAUGUAACCUUACAAGGGUCAGCUUUUUUGUUUAUAAAAUUUAAAUAGAAAGACUGCCUGCUUAUUGGAUGGUUCUGAGAAUGUGAAGAACUUGACAAUGGUUUAGACGAGCUGAUGGGGAAGUCAAGGACUUGCCUCCUUUGGGAUAAUACUGCUUGCCCAGGCAUGGUGGAAUGGAGGUGGAAUGUAUACUGAAGGACCAGUACACACACCUGCCUUCAGCCUUCUUUAUCACAAAUGAGCUCCUGUAUCACUUCUGGCUUCUCUACUUCUACAUCAGGUUACUAUGCCCAAGCAUCCUCUUUCUUGAAUAGUCUUCAUUAAUAGCUGACAUGAGUGGUGCCCACGACUACUACCAGAUGAACCAAAAGAUGGAAAACCUGUCUAACAUAGAAUGGAUCUUCUGUAGAGGCUUAAAAAUGAAAAUAAGAUAUAAAAAGAAAAAUUUGCUCAUGAAGAAAAAUCAAUUUCUUCGAUGGCUUUUGGUGCCAGCA